GCGGUAGUUCCAAUAGCAGCCAAUCAUCAGGAGUUGGAUUGAGGACAGAACCAAAGCCAGUCCUUCCUCUUUAUCUUUCUCCCCUCUUUAAAUCGGAAUAAAAUUAAAACUGUGACAAAUAUCAAAGUUUGCUCUCUCUCUCUCUCUCUCUCUCUGCCUUCCAAGCAAAAAUCUCACUCUUCCAAAAAUCGCAGCCACUCCCAUGCACCUCAAUUAUUUUCUUCUGCAAUAGUGAGAGAACUCCAUAUGGCACUCAGGGAAAUAGGUCGAUUCAAAGAAAACGGAACGGACACAGACGCCUUAAGAGCACAAGCGCAAUCCGUGAUGCUUGAUGCAAUGAAGAGAGCUAAAGAUUUGUCUACUGUAAUUGGGGAAUCAAGCUCCAAGGCGAAAUCACAUACGCGAGAGAUUCAAGUACUAAAGAAAUCGCGAAGGCGCGUUGGCACGCGGGAAGAUCAGGUAUUGGCUAUUGGGGAUGUGGACAAUAAAAAAUGUACAGAAGUGAUGAGAGAACUGGAACUUGUGAGACAGGAACUACGCAUGCUUAAGCUUGAUAUGGCAUUGAUUUUAGAAGAGAAAUUGGGGGCAGAGAAGCAAACUGAGGCCUCAAAAGCAAAGAUGUUUUAUACAUGCUUAAAGCUUGUUAAGGACCCAACUUGUUAACAAGUUCUUAACGGAUACUCGAUAACGACCCGACUCGUUAACAGAUUGACUCGAAAUCUGUUAUUUUUGUGUCAUUUUGUACAUGAUCAACGGGUCUUAAGAAAUUACCAAGCCUACAAUAUACUGUGGCUGAAGGGAUACCAAAAUUUUCAACUCAACAACAAUCAAAGAGAGAGUAUACUAUUAUGUUAUUACAACCAUUCCUAAUAUUAGAACGUAUUAGUCAAUAAUACAGGAAUGAAUAACUGAAAUAGCUGUGUAAAUCAAAUUUAACGGCUAAACACCCAUAGUAUUGAAUGGUACAUAAAAUUAAAGUCACACCCUAUAAUAAGUUUAAACUAAAAAAUGUAGGAAAAUGCUUUGGUUCCAUUAUUUAAACACAGUGCCAUCAAAUUACCUAUAUAUUGUUCAUAACUUGUACAAUUUUAACUGCCUAUAAGAAGAAAGAAAGAAAAGGAAUAAACAACAAAUUGGAUUUUGGAUGGGACUCGAACCAAAUCCGCCGUCCAUCGGAUCAUGUAAUGAAACUCACAAAAAAUGCAGCAAAGUAUUGCUCUUCCUUUCUUGAAAACCCUUUUCUCAACGAGUGCACCAAAAAAUGAAAAAAAAUG